rnacentral:rRNA from 1 species
GUGAACGCUGGCGGUAGGCCUAACACAUGCAAGUCGAACGGCAGCACAGUAAGAGCUUGCUCUUACGGGUGGCGAGUGGCGGACGGGUGAGGAAUACAUCGGAAUCUACUUUUUCGUGGGGGAUAACGUAGGGAAACUUACGCUAAUACCGCAUACGACCUACGGGUGAAAGCAGGGGAUCUUCGGACCUUGCGCGAUUGAAUGAGCCGAUGUCGGAUUAGCUAGUUGGCGGGGUAAAGGCCCACCAAGGCGACGAUCCGUAGCUGGUCUGAGAGGAUGAUCAGCCACACUGGAACUGAGACACGGUCCAGACUCCUACGGGAGGCAGCAGUGGGGAAUAUUGGACAAUGGGCGCAAGCCUGAUCCAGACAUACCGCGUGGGUGAAGAAGGCCUUCGGGUUGUAAAGCCCUUUUGUUAGGAAAGAAAAGCAGCAGGUUAAUACCCCGCUGUUCUGACGGUACCCAAAGAAUAAGCACCGGCUAACUUCGUG